UACGUAGGGUGCGAGCGUUGUCCGGAAUUAUUGGGCGUAAAGAGCUCGUAGGCGGUGUGUCACGUCGGCCGUGAAAACCUGCAGCUUAACUGUGGGCGUGCGGUCGAUACGGGCAUCACUGGAGUUCUGCAGGGGAGACUGGAAUUCCUGGUGUAGCGGUGAAAUGCGCAGAUAUCAGGAGGAACACCGGUGGCGAAGGCGGGUCUCUGGGCCGAUACUGACGCUGAGGAGCGAAAGCUAGGGGAGCAAACGGG
rnacentral:rRNA from 1 species